GCGGGGUCGGAGGCGGGGCCGCGGCCUCUGGGGCUCCCACCUCGUGCCUGCUGCGGCUGCACCCGUGGGGAAACUGAGGCCGGAGAGGCGGAGGGGCUGCAGAGGUCUCCGGGCGAGCGGGCAGAGAGCCACGGUGGGACAGCGCGUGCAGCUGGGCGUCGGCGGGGGUCCAGGCCCGCGCCCCGGGAGGGGCUGCUGUCGCGGCGGGGGUGGGCGCGAGGCCGCCGGACCCUGGAGGUUCCCGCCUGGCGCCCAGGCCCAGCUGGCGAGGCCCCUCCUCUCUCGGGAGCCCUGCUGGCCUCUGGCGAGCGGGUCUGGACCCCGGCCGAGUGUUCAAGGUUAUCCCCGUGCACUAAAUCCUGACUAUGGCACAGGCUGGGCAGGCUGAACGUGUGUCUUACUCAUGCUGCUAGGAGCCACGGAGGGUGCUGGGUGUCGUGGAUAUAGCAAAGAAGGAACUACAGAGCUGACGUCCUCAUGAGGACAUUCAGGUUCAAAGAUGUCAUCUGAUGUACUCCAGAUUCCGGGCUGUGAAGGACCCAGAGUCCAAAUGCAAGGGAUGUUGGCUUCCUUUCCCAGUUGCGCUGUGACCGUCUGCCAUAAACUCAGGUCAGCCAGGCGGUUGGAAAGACCUGGUAAAAAAUUGUUUCGAAUGAGGACAAAGGAAGCUGUUAGGGUUCAACAGAGUCGUGUAGGCACCUAGCAGACAUUAGAGCAAUUAUAUUCUUGGAUUCUUGGGGCUCUCAAGGUUUUUUAGGGAGAGAAAAUUUGUUUCUCAUGCAUGUGCCCAAAGUUGUCCCUUUUGAGCAAAUGCUUUCGGCCACCCAUACCCUCCCUCCCCCAUCCAGGUAGAGAGGGAAGAAUGAUCAGAUCGCCUGGAAGCAUCCAUGAGACAGCUCCAAGCAUGCUGCCCUCUGGGUGGGGGGGCAUGGGUCCCUAUUUGCUGUGAAGAACCUGACACACACCCAGCACAGGAGAAACUGUCACACAAAGAACAUUCCACCCCUCCCCCAUGUCCUGGAAGUCUCUCCCUCCGUCUCUCCUUACCUGCAGCGUGGAUGGAACAUGGGCGGUGCCAAAGAGCAGAGACAGCCUCCUGUGCACGGCUGGACGGGAUCUGUAAAAUCGGGGACAUUUCGUGCUCUUGACACUGUGUCUGACACCCUGGGUCCCCCUGGAGCCUUAAUAAAUGCUAGGAGACUUUG